rnacentral:ncRNA from 1 species
AUCAUGCACCUUAUGUCUUGGGCUGCACACGUGCUACAAUAGUCGGUACAAAGGGCUGCGAUGCCGCGAGGCGGAGCGAAUCGCAAAAAGCCGGCCUCAGUUUGGCUUGGGGUCUGCAACUCGACCGCAUGAAGUUGGAGUUGCUAGUAAUCGCAGAUCAGCAUGGUGCGGUGAAUACGUUCACGAGCGUUGUACAGACGGGCCGGCACGUCACGAAGGUCGGUAACACGCGAAGCCGGUGGCCUAACCCGUGAGGGGAGGAGCCGUCGAAGGUGGGACCAGCGAUUGGGACGAAGUCGUAACAAGGUAGCCGUACGGGAAGGUGCGGCUGGAUCACCUCCUUU